rnacentral:snoRNA from 1 species
UGGUGACAUGAUGGCAUACCAUCUUUCGGGACUGACUCUUGAAAUGGAGAGUUUGUUACAUUUACUGAUCACUU